UUACCAUGCAAGUCGAACGAUGAUGCCCAGCUUGCUGGGUGGAUUAGUGGCGAACGGGUGAGUAACACGUGAGUAACCUGCCCUUGACUUCGGGAUAACUCCGGGAAACCGGGGCUAAUACCGGAUAUGAGCCGUCCUCGCAUGGGGGUGGUUGGAAAGUUUUUCGGUCAGGGAUGGGCUCGCGGCCUAUCAGCUUGUUGGUGGGGUGAUGGCCUACCAAGGCGACGACGGGUAGCCGGCCUGAGAGGGCGACCGGCCACACUGGGACUGAGACACGGCCCAGACUCCUACGGGAGGCAGCAGUGGGGAAUAUUGCACAAUGGGCGAAAGCCUGAUGCAGCGACGCCGCGUGAGGGAUGAAGGCCUUCGGGUUGUAAACCUCUUUCAGCAGGGAAGAAGCGCAAGUGACGGUACCUGCAGAAGAAGCGCCGGCUAACUACGUGCCAGCAGCCGCGGUAAUACGUAGGGCGCAAGCGUUGUCCGGAAUUAUUGGGCGUAAAGAGCUCGUAGGCGGUUUGUCGCGUCUGGUGUGAAAACUCGAGGCUCAACCUCGAGCUUGCAUCGGGUACGGGCAGACUAGAGUGCGGUAGGGGAGACUGGAAUUCCUGGUGUAGCGGUGGAAUGCGCAGAUAUCAGGAGGAACACCGAUGGCGAAGGCAGGUCUCUGGGCCGCAACUGACGCUGAGGAGCGAAAGCAUGGGGAGCGAACAGGAUUAGAUACCCUGGUAGUCCAUGCCGUAAACGUUGGGCACUAGGUGUGGGGCUCAUUCCACGAGUUCCGUGCCGCAGCAAACGCAUUAAG
rnacentral:rRNA from 1 species